rnacentral:misc_RNA from 1 species
UCCCCAGCCCACCAUCCCCAUCGUGGGCAUCGUUGCUGGCCUUGUUGUCCUUGGAGCUGUGGUCACUGGAGCUGUGGUCGCUGCUGUGAUGUGGAGGAAGAAGAGCUCAG